CAGCCGUAAACUAUGCGCGUUAGGUGUAUCGGUGACCACGAGUUACCGAGGUGCCGAAGGGAAACCGUGAAACGUGCCGCCUGGGAAGUACGGUCGCAAGGCUGAAACUUAAAGGAAUUGGCGGGGGAGCACCACAACAGGUGGAGCCUGCGGUUUAAUUGGACUCAACGCCGGGAAGCUCACCAGAUAGGACAGCAGAAUGAUUGCCGGGCUGAAGACUCUGCAUGACUAGCUGAGAGGAGGUGCAUGGCGUAGACGUCU
rnacentral:rRNA from 1 species